GGGCUCGUAGUUCAGUGGAUAGAAUGCGGGGCUUCGGACCCUGAGACAGGGGUUCAAUUCCUCUCGGGCCCA
rnacentral:tRNA from 1 species